rnacentral:pre_miRNA from 1 species
AUAUGAAUCACCUGUGGAUUUUGCUGAAAUGUGGAUUCUUGUUUGGGAGAUCUGUGACUGAGAUUUGGCAUUUCUGAUAAGCUAUUAGGUGAUGUCAGU